GUCUGUUUGGUAGAGUCAAACGGUCUUACCUGCCCACUGUAAGGAUAAAGGGCUGCGGUAUUAUGACCGUGCUAAGGUAGCAUAAUCAUUAGUCUUUUAAUUGAGGACUGGAAUGAACGGUGUGAUGAAAAGUAAGCUGUUUCUUAGAUAAACAUCGAAUUUUACUUUUAAGUGAAAAGGCUUAAAUGUCAUUAAGGGACGAUAAGACCCUAUAAAACUUAAUAAUGCGUUCUGGCGAUGUGUUUAAAGUAAAUAAAUCGCCAGUUUAGUUUUAUUUAGUUGGGGCGACUAAGAUAUAAAAAGUAGCUGUUCAAGUUAGACAAAUAUAAUCAAUUGUCGUUAAAACCUUUAGUAAGGAUUAAAAUAAAGUUACUUUAGGGAUAACAGCGUAAUUUUCUCUGAGAGUUCUUAUCGAAGAGAGUAGUUGCGACCUCGAUGUUGAAUUAAAAUUUUUAGUAAACGCAGCAGUUUAAAAAAUAAGUCUGUUCGACUUUUGAAAUUACA
rnacentral:rRNA from 1 species